CACAUAAAAAUUUCACGGGCAUGGCUGCCUCUUUCACGCCCGUGCCCUAACUCUCCUCCUCCUCCUCCUUCCUCUUUCACGAUGGAUCCUGCCGUGCCCUAACUCUAGCUCCCGAGCCGCUUCUUGCUUCCCCUUCGAGAAGAGAGGAGCGAAGAUCGUCCCCUUCGUGCCCUAACUUCUUCGGUCGCAGCGUCGCGUUCUCCUUUCUCUUCCUCCCAGUGAGGCGAGCCGCUUCUUCCCUCCCGUUCUCGAAGAGAGGAUCGAAGGCUGUCCAUCCAAAAAAAACAGUGAGGAGUCGAAGCCCUCACCUAGCUACGGGGUCAAGUUAUAGCACCAGUAGACGGGGAGCUUUGAGUUUGAGCACUCUUUGAGGUUGCUAUUUCAUGGAUGAAUCAAGUUACAGCAACAUCGACAAUACGAGAUUUCAACAUGUAACAUGUAGGGAAUGCGGAGAAAGAACCAUGAUGUGUGUUUCUAAAUCAACUAAAAAUCCUGGAAGAUACUAUUACAGAUGUGGCCAAUAUGGAUGGCAAAAGUGGAUGACGACCGAUACUAGUUCAUCCUGCAAAAUUGAAAGUGAACACCAUGUUUCUCAUGGACAUAAUCCGAGAAUAAUCGAUGUACCAAAAUUCAUUUGGAUAUUAGUGAUGGUGAAUUUGAUUCUCUUAGCUAUAAUCCAGAUUGAGUUGUUAGUUCAUCUGUUUAGUUAGUGUUAAGUAAUGUUUGUGUUGUAAUAUAAUUAGCUAAAUGUUUGUAAGUCUGGACGCAAACUCAGUUUAUCUCUAAUUGAAAUGUUUUUAUUUCGAUAAA